rfam:Gossypium hirsutum cultivar TM-1 chromosome 10, whole genome shotgun sequence
UGUUAAAAUUUUUAUCUAUUUUUACUGUUAAAAACUGACGUAGUUGACAAAAUAACUUAGUAGUUACACUUCCACGUGUAACCUUAUGCUAACUUAUAGUGACUAAUUUUAACAGUAAAAAUUAAUAGAAUUUUUAACA